UGCGCUCGUAGCUCAGUUGGAUAGAGCGAAGGAUUCCUAAUCCUUAGGUCGGAGGUUCAAAUCCUCUCGGGCGCAU
rnacentral:tRNA from 1 species